rnacentral:rRNA from 1 species
UACGUAGGGCGCAAGCGUUGUCCGGAAUUAUUGGGCGUAAAGAGCUCGUAGGCGGUUUGUCGCGUCUGCUGUGAAAACCUCAGGCUCAACCUGGGGCUUGCAGUGGGUACGGGCAGACUAGAGUGCGGUAGGGGUGACUGGAAUUCCUGGUGUAGCGGUGGAAUGCGCAGAUAUCAGGAGGAACACCGAUGGCGAAGGCAGGUCACUGGGCCGCAACUGACGCUGGAGGAGCGAAAGCAUGGGGAGCGAACAGG